rnacentral:misc_RNA from 1 species
UCCUACCAUUUUCAACGAAGCUCUGUGGGUCUCUGUGCACCCUCUAGCGCUCUUCUGUCUUUUCACUGCUCCUCUCCCGACCCCUCGCCUCACACCCUCCCACACCGUCAACCGACGUCCAUGUCCGAGGUGUUAAAGCUGGAAAAGACGCUGCGGAAGCAGACGACGUCCGACGACGUGCAAGCUUCCAAAAUCGCCUCCACGGCGGAACGCAUCUUGUCCUUGCAGCCGAACCACGUGUACGCGAUGCAGUGCAAGUCUGUCGCCCUGCUCCACAGCGGGCGGUUCGCUGCUGCGCUGAGCGUGCUAGAAAACCUCCAGCUCGAGGCAACGCCCUUCAAAAACAGCGCGACCUUCCACCUGCACAAGGCCUACUGCCAUUACCGUCUCAUGCAAUACACUGAGGCCAGGGCGGAGCUGCAAGAGCGGCAGCAAAGGGGGCCCAUGUCCGCGGCGGCCCGCCACCUGCUGGCCCAGAUCCACUACAACCUCGAGGAGUACGCCGAGGCGGCCGCCAUGUACGCGGAACUCGUAGCCGACGGUGCCUACCGCGACGACGUGGAGAAACAGGAGCUGCUCACCAACUACACGGCCUCUCUAUCCGCCUGUGCGCCGGAGAAGGUUGCGGCGGUGGUGCGUGAUGAGGCGGACGAGAAGACACCUGACCUGCUCUUUAAUCUUGCCACCGCUCAGGUGGAGGCGCAAAACUACGAGGCCGCGCAGGCCACUCUACUCCAAGCAGAGCAACUGUGCGCUGCCAUCUUCCCGAAGAGCAAGCUGCGCUCUCUGAAGGAUGCGCUUGCUGCUAGCAGUGAGGUGCUGCAGGCACAGCUCGGCGUCCAGCUCGGGGCACCGACGAGCAUCGGUGGUAGCAGCUCUAUCGCCACCUCACCGGAGCGCUGUUUCUUCAACGAGGUGUGCAGCAACUGGGUGCAGCAGGCGUACAUUGCCUUCAUGCGGCACCGCGAAGAUGACGCGCGACGCAUUGUUGAUCUGAUCCUCACGUACAAGCCGAGCUCCGCCGUCACGAGCGCCGUCGCCGGCAUUCUGUAUACGGCCCUGCAGCGCAGCGCGGACUUCUUCGACUCACACCGCAAGCUCAAGGCGGCCCAGCACGUCAAGGUGUUGCCGCGCCUCACAUCGAAGCAGCUCAUCGCCGUUCAGUACAACACGGCCCUGCUGCAGCUGAGCGCCGGCGCCCUCGACCGUUGCACCCGCACAGUAGAGCAGAUGGAGAAGGCGCACCCGAACAACGAGCUGACGCACUCGCUGCGUCUCGUGCUGGCCGUGCGCGAGCUCAAGAAGAAGAAGUCCCUGCCAGCGAGCUCGCCGUCGUCGGCCUCGAGGCCCACGAGGACCGCGACGGACAGCGCGCGUGACGUACAGGAGUGCGUGCGCAACUACGAAGCGGAGGCUACGCGGCACCAGGGUGCUGGGAGCUCGGAGGCCGGAAACCGGAAGCGCCAUCGCUUCCUGCAGCUCAUCACUGCCCAGCUCUUCCUCGAACAGGGCGACCUGGCGCACGCCGUGGAGACGCUGAAAGCGCUGGAGGGCUCCACAGUGGCGCGGCGUCCGACGACGGUGAUGACGAUGGCCGCCUGGGAGGCGCAGAUUGGCGACGUCGACGCUGCCAUGGCGCUGCUGCGCGAGCGGCUCACUGCCACGACUUGUGGCUACUCUAUCGCUGUAAAGAAGGCAGUAUUGCUCUGGGCCGUCCAGGACCUCGCCAUGGCUCGCGGCCACUACGCUGCUGUGGGGCAGCUGCUCAAAGCGGUGCAAGCUGCGGACGCAAGCCUGGAGAAGGACCGCGAGGUGACGGCGUUGCUGGUCAUAUGCCUCGCCGAAACGGACUUGGCUGCGGCGAAGCGCGUCAUCGCCACCCUCGACGCGGACGCCGCGGCGGCGCUGAGCGGCGCUGGCAGCAACAGUCACACCGCCCCGUCGGAUAAGCAGAUCGAGGCGCUGGUGCGCGGGAAUCCCGGCGCCGCCGCCAUGAGCGAACUGGGGUAUCGUCGCGUGACGGUGGUGGAUCAGGAGGGCGCUGCCGCUGAUGGAGGCCGCGCCGCCAGUGGUGCUGGUCUGCCGCAGCGCCGUCGCCGCGCCAUGCGUCGCCCUGCGAAGAACAUGGAUGGCAAGCCAGACCCUGAGCGCUGGAUCCCGAUGUCGUUGCGCUCCUACAUCAAGGAUCUGCCGGAGCGACGCAAGAAGGAGCUGAGGCGGCUGCGCGCCUUCGACCAGGAGCAGAAGCGCCGUGCCGCAGCAGCGGCAAGCCACAAGCAGAAGAAGGACGAGCAACUGCAGCGGCAACAUGUGGCAGAGGCCUCCCCCGUCGCCUCAGCUGCGUAAAACGGCGAUGGGCUUCGCGCGUGGUGACUUUCUGUCUGGUAAUGUUGCCGACGGCCUGUCUUAUCUGUAAUGGAUCUCUCGUGUGGCCAUUUAUAAUGCUGUCAUGGCUCACUGUUUCUGUCCUGCGCCUCCCGCUUGCGCAGCUCACACAGCGGAGCUAGGUACAGUGUGUUCCCUGUGCUGGCACACUGCCGAAGUCGUUUUCCUUGGCUGUUGUCUAUGAAUGUGUGUGUGUGUGUGUGUCUCCCGCCCCACCGCCAUCAUCACGACCACGAUUGUGAGUGGAUUGCACGAGGUCAAACUGCCAAAAACCGAUCAAAGAGCUCCUGUGGAGUAGUCUCUUGCCCCUCUCUCGCUCGGGUGCAACACUUCUUUUCGGUGACGGCACACUCAGGGGGAGUGCCGUUGGAGGUGAAGGAUAUGUAGGCUGUGUGUGUGUGUGUGUGUAGUGUAUAUAGCUUCUCAUUGGAGGGAGACGCACCCCUCCCCCUCCCCCUUCUCCAGCCUUCUCGAUCUGUCUUCUCCGCGCUGACGACUGCUGCGCGCACCACAACCCUCACGUAUGUGUACGUGUACGCGUGCCCCCGCGAAG